GACGAACGCUGGCGGCGUGCCUAAUACAUGCAAGUCGAACGAGUGGCGGACGGGGGAGUAAUGUCUGGGAAACUGCCUGAUGUAGGGGGAUAACUCCUUGAAUCGGUAGCCAUUACCUCAUAUCAACAGAUGUGGCCAGAUGGGAUUGGCUAGUAGGUGGGGUAAUGGCGCACCUAGGCGACGAUCCCUAGCUGGUCUGAGAGGAUGACCAGCCACACUGGAACUGAGACACGGUCCAGACUCCUACGGGAGGCAGCAGUGGGGAAUAUUGCACAAUGGGCGCAAGCCUGAUGCAGCCAUGCCGCGUGUGUGAAGAAGGCCUUAGGGUUGUAAAGCACUUUCAGCGGGGAGGCGUUACUCGCAGAAGAAGCACCGGCUAACUCCGUGCCAGCAGCCGCGGUAAUAC
rnacentral:rRNA from 1 species